UACGUAGGGUGCAAGCGUUAAUCGGAAUUACUGGGCGUAAAGCGUGCGCAGGCGGUUUUGUAAGUCUGUUGUGAAAUCCCCGGGCUCAACCUGGGAAUGGCAAUGGAGACUGCAAGGCUAGAGUUUGGCAGAGGGGGGGUAGAAUUCCACGUGUAGCAGUGAAAAUGCGUAGAUAUGCGGAGGAACACCGAUGGCGAAGGCAAUCCCCUGGGCCUGCACUGACGCUCAUGCACGAAAAGCGUGGGGGAGCAAAACAGG
rnacentral:rRNA from 1 species